ACUUGAUCCGAGUGCAGUGGUGUUUACAACUAAUUGAUCACAACCAGUUACAGAUUCCUUUGUUCCUUCCCCACUCCCACUGCUCCACUUGACCAGCCUUAA
rnacentral:Y_RNA from 1 species